UGGGGAAUAUUGGGGCAAUGGGGCGAAAGCCUGACCCAGCGACGCCGCGUGAGGGAAGAAGGUCUUCGGAUUGUAAACCUUAGUUAGCAGGGAAGAAGAAAGUGACGGUACCUGCAGAGAAAGCCACGGCUAACUACGUGCCAGUAGCCGCGGUAAUACGUAGGUGGCGAGCGUUAUCCGGAAUUACUGGGUGUAAAGGGUGUGUAGGCGGGCAAACAAGUCAGAUGUGAAAACUAUGGGCUUAACCCAUAGCCUGCAUUUGAAACUGUAUGUCUUGAGGAUGGGAGAGGUAAGCGGAAUUCCUAGUGUAGCGGUGAAAUGCGUAGAUAUUAGGAGGAACACCAGUGGCGAAGGCGGCUUUCUGGGGCUGAAACUGACGCUGAGGCGCGAAAGCGUGGGGAGCAAACAGGAUUAGAUACCCUGGUAGU
rnacentral:rRNA from 1 species